UACGUAGGGGGCGAGCGUUGUCCGGAUUUAUUGGGCGUAAAGAGCUCGUAGGCGGUUCCGUAAGUCGGGUGUGAAAAAUCUGGGCUCAACCCAGUGGAGCACCCGAUACUGCGGUGACUCGAGUCCGGUAGGGGAGUGUGGAAUUCCUGGUGUAGCGGUGAAAUGCGCAGAUAUCAGGAGGAACACCGACGGCGAAGGCAGCACUCUGGGCCGGUACUGACGCUGAGGAGCGAAAGCAUGGGGAGCGAACAGG
rnacentral:rRNA from 1 species